rnacentral:rRNA from 1 species
UACAGAGGGGGCAAGCGUUGUUCGGAAUUACUGGGCGUAAAGGGCGCGUAGGCGGCCCUCUAAGUCAGACGUGAAAUCCCUCGGCUCAACCGGGGAACUGCGUCUGAGACUGGAAGGCUUGAAUUCGGGAGAGGGAUGUGGAAUUCCAGGUGUAGCGGUGAAAUGCGUAGAUAUCAUUUGGAACGCCAAUGGUGAAAACAGGUAGCUGGGAGUGUGCUGACGCUGAGACACGAAAGCCAGGGGAGCAAACGGG